rnacentral:rRNA from 1 species
UACGGGGGGAGCAAGCGUUGUUCGGAUUUACUGGGCGUAAAGGGCGCGUAGGCGGCCUGUGCAAGUCAGUUGUGAAAUCUCCGGGCUUAACUCGGAACGGUCAACUGAUACUGCUCGGCUAGAGUGCGGAAGGGGCAACUGGAAUUCUUGGUGUAGCGGUGAAAUGCGUAGAUAUCAAGAGGAACACCUGCGGCGAAGGCGGGUUGCUGGGCCGACACUGACGCUGAUGCGCGAAAGCUAGGGAGCGAACGGG